rnacentral:rRNA from 2 species
AUUGCCCUAGUAACGGCGAGUGAAGCGGCAAAAGCUCAGAUUUGAAAUCUGGCGUCAUCUUUUGGCGUCCGAGUUGUAGUCUGUAGAGGUGUAUUCGAGUGUGGCUUUGGCUUAAGUUCCUUGGAACAGGACGUCAUAGAGGGUGAGAACCCCGUUUACGGCCUUUGUCUUAUGCUCAUGUGAAUCUCCUUCAACGAGUCGAGUUGUUUGGGAAUGCAGCUCUAAAUGGGUGGUAAAUUCCAUCUAAAGCUAAAUACUGGCAAGAGACCGAUAGCGCACAAGUAGAGUGAUCGAAAGAUGAAAAGAACUCUGAACAGAGAGUUAAAUAGUACGUGAAAUUGUUGAAAGGGAAGCACUUCCGACCAGACGCACUUGCAGCCGAUCAAUUCUCAUUCUUGGGAGUGCACUCGGUUGUCUGUGGGUCAGCAUCAGUUAUAGCGGUGGGAAAAAGACUAAGGGAAUGUAGCUCCUCUCGGGGAGUGUUAUAGCCUUUGGUGUAAUGCUGCCUGCUGUGACUGAGGACCGCGC